rnacentral:lncRNA from 1 species
CUAGCUAAACAUAUCAAGUUGUCAUUUAUAGUACUCUAGUUCAAUUCCAACUAGGUCUUAACAAAACUCUAAUGAUACUCAUCGAACUAUCAUUUCCACAUAAAGCAAUCCUAUUGCUCUGUGAACUAACAAGUUUUCCUAGAACAUCCGGGGUUGGCGGAUCGUCUCACAAAAAAGUCUGCCAAACCCUAGAGUUUGCCAACCUUAGAGUUCGCCAAAUAGCGAAUUCCAACAAGGCGUCCCUCACAAGGGCGUACUAAUAAAUUCACGCAACAUGUCAACC